rnacentral:rRNA from 1 species
GAGUUUGAUCUUGGCUCAGGGUGAACGCUGGCGGCGUGCCUAAUGCAUGCAAGUCGAACGCCUGUAGCAAUACAGGAGUGGCAGACGGCUGAGCAUCACGUGAGUAACCUGCCCAACGAUGGGGGACAACUCGCCGAAAGGCGAGCUAAUACCGCAUUCGUUCCCAUGACCCUGGUUGUGGGAGGAAAGUCGCAAGACGUCGAUGGAGGGGCUCGCGGCCUAUCAGGUAGUUGGCGGGGUAACGGCCCACCAAGCCGAAGACGGGUAGCUGGUCUGAGAGGACGACCAGCCAGAGGGGGACUGAGAUACGGCCCCCACUCCUACGGGAGGCAGCAGCAGGGGAUCUUGGGCAAUGGACGAAAGUCUGACCCAGCGACGCCGCGUGGAGGAUGAAGGCCUU